AACGCACAUUGCGCCCCUUGGUAUUCCGAGGGGCAUGCCUGUUCGAGCGUCACUUCAACCUUCAGGCUCUGCUUGGUAUUGGGCACCGCCAGCAUCGGCGGGCCUUAAAAUCAGUGGCGGCGUCGCUAGGUCCUGAGCGUAGUAAUACUCCUCGCUACUGGAUGCUAGUAGAUGUCUGCCAUCAACCCCAACUCUUAAUGGUUGACCUCGGAUCAGGUAGGGAUACCCGCUGAACUUAA
rnacentral:misc_RNA from 1 species